CUCUCCCUAUAUAAAUGGAUUUCAGAGUCUCGAUCCCAUUUCGAUCCUAUUUUCUUAUAGAAAUAGGAUGGAACGGGACAUCUAGUAUACCCCCUAUUUUACUAGGACAUAAAAACUUGGAAUCAUUAUAGUGCAACUAAAUACGAUCAUCUUAUCACUUUUAUCUAUGUCACUGUUGAUCUUGGAACGAUCACUCCAUACC
rnacentral:lncRNA from 1 species